GGGCCGCCUACUACUCACACUACUACCAGCAGCCCCCGGGCCCCGUCCCCGGCCCCGCACCGGCCCCUGCGGCCCCACCGGCUCAGGGUGAGCCCCCUCAGCCCCCACCCACCGGCCAGUCGGACUACACUAAGGCCUGGGAAGAGUAUUACAAAAAGAUCGGCCAGCAGCCCCAGCAGCCCGGAGCACCCCCACAGCAGGACUACACGAAGGCUUGGGAGGAGUACUACAAGAAGCAAGCCCCCUCUUCUCUCCCUCCCGCCCUGGCUCAGCUCCCGCGGCCCCGCCCGUCCCCCCUCCCAGGACUGGUCUGUUGUCUUUUCAUCUGUUCAAGAGGAGAUUGAAACUGAAAACAAAAUGAGAACAACAAAAAAAAUUG
rnacentral:lncRNA from 1 species